GAGGGUAUAACUCAGUGGUAGAGCACAUGCUUAGCAUGCACAAAGUUUUGGGUUUAACCCCCAGUACCUCCA
rnacentral:tRNA from 1 species